CCUACGGGUGGCAGCAGUCGAGAAUCAUUCACAAUGGGGGAAACCCUGAUGGUGCGACGCCGCGUGGGGGAAUGAGGCUCUUCGGAUUUUAAAUCCUUGUCAUGGGGGAGCAAAUUAUAAAGAUCGUACCCCCAGAAGUAGAGACUGCUAACUCUUUACCCGCAGCCUCGCUAAUAAAGAGGGUUCAAGCGGGGUUCGGAAUCACUGGCGGUAAAGCGUGCGUAGGCUGGUUCGUAAGGCGUGUGUUAAAGGCUCGGUCUCAAACCGCGGACGGCACAUGAUACUGGGAGACUAGAGUAAGGGAGGGGGGAGCGGAAUGCGCGGUGUAGCAGUGAAAUGCGUAGAGAUCGAGAGGAACACUGGUGGCGAAGGCGGGUUCCUGGACAGUAACUGACGCUGAGGCACGAAGGCGAGGGGAGCGAAAGGGAUUAGAUACCCCAGUAGUC
rnacentral:rRNA from 1 species